rnacentral:rRNA from 1 species
AGAGUUUGAUCAUGGCUCAGAUUGAACGCUGGCGGCAGGCUUAACACAUGCAAGUCGAGCGGGCGUAGCAAUACGUCAGCGGCAGACGGGUGAGUAACGCGUGGGAACGUACCUUUUGGUUCGGAACAACUGAGGGAAACUUCAGCUAAUACCGGAUAAGCCCUUACGGGGAAAGAUUUAUCGCCGAAAGAUCGGCCCGCGUCUGAUUAGCUAGUUGGUGAGGUAAUGGCUCACCAAGGCGACGAUCAGUAGCUGGUCUGAGAGGAUGAUCAGCCACAUUGGGACUGAGACACGGCCCAAACUCCUACGGGAGGCAGCAGUGGGGAAUAUUGGACAAUGGGCGAAAGCCUGAUCCAGCCAUGCCGCGUGAGUGAUGAAGGCCCUAGGGUUGUAAAGCUCUUUUGUGCGGGAAGAUAAUGACGGUACCGCAAGAAUAAGCCCCGGCUAACUUCGUGCCAGCAGCCGCGGUAAUACGAAGGGGGCUAGCGUUGCUCGGAAUCACUGGGCGUAAAGGGUGCGUAGGCGGGUCUUUAAGUCAGAGGUGAAAUCCUGGAGCUCAACUCCAGAACUGCCUUUGAUACUGAGGAUCUUGAGUUCGGGAGAGGUGAGUGGAACUGCGAGUGUAGAGGUGAAAUUCGUAGAUAUUCGCAAGAACACCAGUGGCGAAGGCGGCUCACUGGCCCGAUACUGGCGCUGAGGCACGAAAGCGUGGGGAGCAAACAGGAUUAGAUACCCCGGUAGUCC